rnacentral:lncRNA from 1 species
GACCAAAUAUGGACCAUCGCUAGACCUCACCAAGAUGUAUUACCAAAUGACCCUGUUAAGGAUUUCAUCAUCCCCUUUAGGAGUUAUCUCUCUUUUAUUGAGUUUUUUCAACAUGGCCCCCUCCCCCUCGUUGGUUUUAAAGAUAUCAUGACCUUAAUUGGACAUAAUGUAGAUCUCAUCAUGAUGUAUUACCAUGUGAGGCUGAAUAGGAUUUCAUCGUCCCCUAUGAGAGUUAUAUCCCCUUGAAACAAUUUAUUUUCCUUUGCAUUUUUCUCAAAAAGUAUAAAAGAUAGAAUCGAUUUGAAAACGGCAACAUGUACAGGAACAGAUGGCAAUGUUAAUGAACAUGUACAAUCAUUUUGUUAUUAACCCUUAUAAGGAGUUAUUCCCCUUGAAAAAUUGUACAUAAUUUUAGAAAAAUUGUAUUUCGAGAACCAGAAGUCGUAGAGACUUGGGACCUUCACCAAUAAUCUUUAAUUCAUGUGACCUUUAAUAUGCAGUCAAGGUCAAAGGUCACUGAGUGCAAAAAAAAUUUACGCUGCAAUUUCAAGCUUACAUAUUAGGAAAACGAUAAGACUUUGCUGCAUACAUACAGCGUAUAAAAUGUUCCUCUCGACGAGCUCUACAUUUUAUAUGAUAAGUCCAAAAAUGUCCGACUGUCUGUUCAAAAGUUACAACGGGAUGAUUCUUAAAAGUAUAGUAUUGUGUGUAUAUCUUUUUAAAGGUAACAGAUAUCAACCUACUAUAAACUGCAAAGAUGAUCAGUAAUUCAAGACCGUCAAUUUGAGGUCAAUGUCAGGUCAUGAUGAAAUUUCACCUUGACCUUCACAGUUAUACUAUGACCUUGACCUUGUGAUAUUUGAAAGGUCAAGUGGUCCUGAGUUGAAUGGUGGUAGUCCCAUGUCUCUACGACUUCCGGUUCUCAAGUUUGGUAUUGCAUCAUAUAUUUGAUGAUUAAUUGUGACCUUGGUGAACUUUGAAAUUGUCCCAAUUCUUUUUCUAUAAUGUUGUCCUUUAACUGUAGAUCAUUUACCAUUUAACAGAUUUGAGAUAUCUAUUGUCGUUUUAGAGAUAAUGCAGUUUGAAAUUUUGCGAGCGGCGGCAUGUAUUUCUGAAUCAACAACAGCUUACCACUUAAAAUGUUUAGGAAAUUGAAGAGGUUAACAUAGUUAUAUGUUUGACCAAAUACCAAAAACAUUCCAUUGAAAAAAAACACCAAAAAAAUCAUUUUGAAAUUUUCAUGUUUUGCAUUGACUUUGUAAGUUUCAUAACUUCUAUUUAUAUCGUUGAUAUUGCAUCAUUUUUGGCACUUUGUCAAAUGGGGUCAUCUGAUAUAUCAAAUUGAAGGUCUCAAUAAACUCUACUUAAAAAUGAAAAUUUUAAACCUCUUUUUCAUCCCAGGUGGAAGGGUGGGGUCAUUUAGUGCAAAAAUUCAAAUUUCUCAGAUGGUAAGGUUGUCGCAUAUCAAAUGAAAGAACAUAAAGCGUACAUUUCAAAUUUCAAAUUGACGUCCCCAAAAAAUUGGUUGGAUGGGGUCAUUGAGUGCAAAAAAUAAAUUUCUUUUACGAUAGGGUUGUUGUAUAUCAAAUGAAAGGUCAUGAUGUGUACAUUUGAAAUAUCAAAUUCCCAACCUCCAAAAAUUGGUUGGAUGGGGUUAUUAAGUGCAAAAAUCAAACUUUUUAGAACAUGGCGUUGUCGCAUAUCAAAUGAAAGCUCAUCUACCCUGUGUUACAUAUAUCAUACUUCCGAUCUCAAAAAUGUAGGCGGAUGAGGUCAUUAAGUGUAAAAAGCGAAAAGUUUCAGAAGGUAUGCUUGUCGUAUAUCAAACGAAAGGUCGUACAAAGAACAUUACGAAAACAUCACUUUUACAGGAAAGACCUUUCAAUUGUUUUACAAACAAUUGAGAUACUAGUUUUAUAUU